CCGACGGGAUGACCAGUCUGACCACCCUCAGGGCCAUGAUUACCUGUCCUCCAAAGACCCUCCGACCUGACCCGAAAAAUAACCGCUAGCCGGCAACUGAAUAUGACGAACACAAACUGGCCCUCUCUGUGACAGACCCCCAGGUUUUCAUCACUUCAGCAGGAACAGCUAGGGCAGCAGUCCUGCUUCUUGUCAAACCUCUGCCUGUUUGAAAAGGACUCUGGAGCUCACAGAGAGCUGAUGGCCAACAGAGGAUCUGACAGUCCGUGCUUUUUUUCCACCCGUUGCUUCAGCCCAUUUCCCC